rnacentral:rRNA from 1 species
AUUGAACGCUGGCGGCAGGCCUAACACAUGCAAGUCGAGCGGAUGAAGGGAGCUUGCUCCUGGAUUCAGCGACGGACGGGUGAGUAAUGCCUAGGAAUCUGCCUGGUAGUGGGGGAUAACGUCCGGAAACGGGCGCUAAUACCGCAUACGUCCUGAGGGAGAAAGUGGGGGAUCUUCGGACCUCACGCUAUCAGAUGAGCCUAGGUCGGAUUAGCUAGUUGGUGGGGUAAAGGCCUACCAAGGCGACGAUCCGUAACUGGUCUGAGAGGAUGAUCAGUCACACUGGAACUGAGACACGGUCCAGACUCCUACGGGAGGCAGCAGUGGGGAAUAUUGGACAAUGGGCGAAAGCCUGAUCCAGCCAUGCCGCGUGUGUGAAGAAGGUCUUCGGAUUGUAAAGCACUUUAAGUUGGGAGGAAGGGCAGUAAGUUAAUGCCUUGCUGUUUUGACGUUACCAACAGAAUAAGCACCGGCUAACUUCGUG